AGAAAAGCAUCUGUCAACAACAUUAGUGGCAGGAAUCAGCAUUUCCUUGGUGCUCCUUUUUAUUCUUGUCAUUACUGGCAUUUGGUAUGCACGGAGAAAGUCAAAGGCUGAAAUGAAUUCUAUCCCCUCUGGAGAACCUGGAGUGUCCUUACAAAGUAUUUCAACACAUGAGAACCAACGAGAGUGGCCUUUUGAAAGAGCACUACAGUGAUAGCAGGAGGGCUGUUGCAGGACCCUGUGUGGUGGAACCCUGUGUGCCGUGGGACUUCCAAUCAGUAAUUUUCCCUUUUUCAAUGAGAGUUUCAAAUCACUCCAAAAUAAUUUGGAGUGUCAGUAUAAGCAAAUCUUGUUACCAAAACGAAUCUCAGUUGAUGCUAUUGUUAAAACCAGGGGAAACAUUAAAACCAAGGAGCUUCUUAAAUGCCACCUGACGUGACAUGCAUUGCCUGUAGCCUGACAAGAGGAAGGUCAAACUGCUGCAGAGACCCCAAGUCUUGUAAUCCAUUUCCUCAUCAGUACCACAACUAAAUCCAGUUCUGAGGAGUGUGUGAGACAGGGGACUCUGGGAAACUUAACCACUGGUAUUUGUGGCCCUUGCUGUGCAUUUGAUCUGCUUUAUAUUACAAUCAAGUGUACUUACUUCCAUGCUACUCUUAUUUCAGUAAUAGCUUCUUUUCUUACAUCCUUUUCAGGAGAAGAGAUGCAAGGGAAGUCCUCUCAAUUGUAGAUAUUUAAACAGCACUUUCAAAACAAAAAUCUUCAGAAAAGCUGAAUUCUUGAAAUGAAAGGUAUCCUAUGUGGAAAAAAAAGGAGGAAAAAAAAAGUCAAUGUAUUGAUAAACUUAUAGCCAUUAAAGUCAGCAACUGCAUGGUGAAAAGGUGAGCUCCUCAGUCAGUAUAAACUGACAGACCUUCCUUCCUCUAGUUCUGUCAUUGAUGAUGGCAGUGAUAAUAGUAAGAGUCAGUUAAGGCUGAAAACCUGAAUUUUGAUGGAUGUUAUUGUCUUUAUUGCAUUGCUACUUCCCCUAGCUGGUAUUAGUGACUCCACAGUCACAGGUGACUGCUGUGGAGCCCUGCUUGAGCAAGGGUUGGGGGAUCUGGGGCAGAAGACAACAGAAGACAUGUACCCAAAGGGCUGCUUUCUGGUAAUGUGGUAGAGAAAAGAAGACUGGAGAGGUAAGGGGAUCAUCUGAAAUGACUCUAGCAGAACAUUCUUCUAUGAGCUUUUGCUGAGACAGCUUCUGGCCUACUGGACAAAAGUGGUAUGUCCCUACCUCCUAUUCAUCUGUGAAGACAAAUGUUUAAGAGCGUGGGGUAAGUCCCACAGUAAUGGAGCAAACCUGAGAGCUAAGCAUUUGCUGGAAAUCACAGAUUCUUUGCCUGCACUGUAAACCUUCUCAAGCCAGUAUUACUUUUCCCAGUGAUACUGCAUCAGCUAUCAAUUUCAGGUACUGACUGACACUGUCUGCAAAUAAAAGCAUUUUAUUGCCAGAGUCUGCAUUUCAUGAAAACCAAAGAGGUAUUUUCAGUUCACUUCAGUGAAGCAAACUGAAAAGGAAUAUUUGAAACUCCACCACUUUUUCCAUUUGUUGGGCAGAUAAAGAGAUCUCUUCCAUUGCUGUGUGUUUAUUCUGAGUUUAAGAGAGAGGUAACUAUAUGGAUCCUAUCUGCAGUGCUUUUAUGUGGGGCAGGAGAGCUGUGCUGUAGCUCCUUCCUAUGUGUGUUUUUAAUCAUGUGCAUCUUCUGGUUUCCUUCCAUUAAACAAGUUCCAUAAGUGUCAA